UACAGAGGGUGCGAGCGUUAAUCGGAAUUACUGGGCGUAAAGCGCGCGUAGGCGGCUUUGCAAGUCGGGUGUGAAAUCCCCAGGCUUAACCUGGGAACUGCAUUCGAGACUGCAUUGCUAGAGUAUGGGAGAGGGUAGUGGAAUUCCCGGUGUAGCGGUGAAAUGCGUAGAUAUCGGGAGGAACAUCAGUGGCGAAGGCGGCUACCUGGCCCAAUACUGACACUCAGGUGCGACAGCGUGGGGAGCAAACAGG
rnacentral:rRNA from 1 species